CUUGAAAGGCAACGCGUUUGGAAACACGCUUUAUUUAGAGGAACGUUUGAGGUUUCAACUGCAAAUCAAACCCCCGUCCUGCAACAUAGAAGCGCCAGGAGCAGAAGGUACAUUCUGCAGGCACUGGGACACCACAGCAUGGCAGAUCUUCUCCUGGACCACUCGCCAUCAUGUUCUUACCACCACGACUGGGGCAGCCAGAGGAGAACUCAUCACAGGGAUGCAAGUCGGUGUGGUGCACAGGAGGAUGCCAGUGAUGAGCAAAGCUGCCGGUACAGCAAAGCUUCAGGUACAGCCCCAGGUAGGCCAGCACAUUCCAAACUGCAGCUCCCAUGCUGGGGGUUAAGCUUCAUGCAGGAGGCACUAGCAGCUCUGCAAAGCUGAACCAAAGACCUUGGUCCUCCUCAAGUGGCCAGAGCCCUGUUUGUGCCCUUCCUGUGAGAGCGAUUCUGGGAACUUACAUUAAAAACAAAUUAAAAGCACUCCAGGGAGGCUGGCUGGCAACUGGUCCCUGGCUUUGGACAGAGCAGCCGGUGAGGAUGUCAUGUCACUGCAGGAAGGGGACCCUUAGCAAAGGCUGCAGAACUGCAAAACAAAGUGUGCUGUCCUGAGCAGCCAAGUUCUUAGAGGAAAUGAAAGCCUGGGACGUCUGGGGCUGGGGAGGAGUUCUGGUCAGAAAUCACUCCCUGCUCUUCUGGGGCUGCGCUGCUGCUGUUUCUGAAUGUACAACAUUGAAUCCAGCGUUCAAACUCAUGGUGGUUUUGGGAGCCCGACUUACAGAGCAGUCUGGGUCUUCCAGCACACAAAGUCCACCUGCACUGAAUGCCAUCCUGAACGAGCCUUUAGUUUUAUUAAGAAAAGGGGGAAAAAAGGAUACUUUUGCUCGCUGUAUCCGGGAUGCUGGAUCCUGGAGGAGCAAAUCCCUGGGGAUUGAAUUAGUGGGAGAAAAACUCAGCACGGAGUGCAAGCAGAGCAGCAGCAAUUAGAGCAGGUGGGCUCUGCACACACACACAGCUGCUUUGUUCAGUGACAAGGGUAGCAAAUAGGAACAACACGAAGUGCCGGCAGGAUGGGAGCAAUGAAGUGCUGUGUGUGGGACAAGGACACAAGUGGGUGUGAGCCCUGCCAGUCCCAGGCAAUGGGUGAGCUCUGCAGAUGUGCCCUGCGUGGAGCCAGGCAGGCUCUGGGUGGUUUUGUUACACGAAGCCCCCAGACAAACAGCCACAGGCUGUACUACCACCACAUCCCUGUGCUUCCACUGCUACUCUGUGGUUGUGAGCUCCCAGCAGGGCACAGGGCCGUGCCACCACUCAGGGCACAAACACACACAUCUGCUGGGGGCACUCAGGCAGAGAGGGUGAGGGCAGCCUCGGGUCAGAGACCUCAGGGGGAUGCACAUCCACACAGCAACGAGACAGAGCAUAAGGAGCUGGUGAGCUCAGGAAGGAGGGAGGUGAGCAGAAGGGAUGGGAUGUCCUUACCUUGGGGCUGUCCAGCCCAGCAGGCGCUGGUCCUCCGUGAGCAGCAGCGUUGAGCCAGGACUGAAGGAGCUCUACCAGGAGGAGCAGGGACAGGAAAGAAGGCGCUGGUUCGCAGGUGGGUGACUCACUUCCCUCUUGGCACUUGCAACAUGGCUCGGAUAUGCCCCAGCCACACCCUGGUGCACAGCACGGAUCUCACAGGGAAAUGGCUGUGCAGGACAGGGGCUCGCUGCUCUCUGCCAUCAUCCUGUGCCCUGGGAUGGGGCAGCCCCACCUGCAGCAGCUCCACGCCAGGGAUCCGGGCUCAGCAUCCUCCAGGCUUCUCAUUCCCUUCCAAGCAUGGGUAGCAGCCAGAGCAGCACUCCAUGCUUGUUCCAACACCUCAGCAGCAGCAGCUGACUUACAGGGAGGCACUGUGUCAGCAUCGGGCUGCUCAGCGUGGGAGUCCCAGAGGACCAUGAGGAAACACUGGCCAGAAAUCCACCCCAGGCUGCAGCCUGAUGGAUAGAACACUCUUUCUUUGGGGCUCGCUCACUCUUUGGCUCACUGACACAGUCCCAGGGCAUUGCUCAGGUUUCAUGUGGGGUUUCCCCAGGUGUGCACCGACAUUGCACAGACUACAGGCAUAACACCACUCUGAGUCACUUGUGCUGUAAUGAGAUUCCACAUUUCCUUCUGCUGCCUGCAUUCACCGCAGGCUGUUUAACAAGGAAAUGCUGCUGGCUUUUCUUUCUCUUAACAAGAGCCAGCACUGGUUUCUGCAACGAAGGAGGCAUGAGGAUUCUGAGAGCUGGGACAGCCACAAAGGGCUGAACAACCACUGCUGGGAGGGGCACAGAAGAAUGCUGGUCAACACAGCAAAGUGUCCAGACAGGGUGUGCCUGCAGCUGAAAAGGAUGCGUCCAAUAAGACCCAUUAUCUUCAACUUGCAUCCUUGCUUUGGACGUGCGGGUGUCUCGGAUGGGAAACCUCAAUGAAGCAGGUACUGCCAGAGAAGCUGGCAAUGUGAAGAGUCCAGUUCAGUGGUAUGGAAGAGGUCAAACUACAGAUCUCCUGCUAGAAAUGAGAGACUCAGCUCUCCCAAAGCGUGUAGCUGUUCUUGCCCAAGGAGUCUGAAAGCCUUUCUGUGCCCAUAUUGAGCACAACACCAAGUCCUAGCAGCAAAAGGCAUUGCCAAAACAGCAGCAGCAGCCAGCAGCCAGAGGAGCACCGCACUGCAGCAGCAGAGCCCUGGGAAAUAGGGAGAGAUCUCAGCCCACAGCGCAGCCACACUUGCUGUCAGGCCCUGGGGCAGCAGGUUGGUGCACAAGACAAGAGACAACACCCAGAUCCCAUUCCUGUGUGAAUCGCAACUGUCCCAGCAGAGGAGGCCUUGCUUCUACAUCUGUUUAUAGGAAGAAAAGGAAGCCAUGACAGCCUGUGCGCUCCAGAUAACAGCACUGCAUGCAACAGCCAAACUCUUUGUGAAGGAAACUUGCUAUGCUGAAGCCCAAUCCCUCAGUUUCGUUUGCUUUGAGAGAGCCUAGUCUAGCACAAAACCCUCCUAAUUGCAAGAAGAGAGCACCUGCCCUUGAUAUCUCCCACCUGGGUCCUUCUAUCCAGCACUGCCAUUCCUAUUGGUAAUCCCCCAGAGCUACAGUUAUGCUCCUGAAAUAGGCAGGGUAGGAGAAAGAAGGGUUCUCCAUGCAUUCACAAGGACAGGGCAUCUCUUGGGAAAGAAGAAGAAGUCCAGAAGAAGAUAAAGCCACAUACUCAGCAUAGACAAGGUGGUGCUGGACCCAAUGCACCUGGCUUCAUGGAGCUGGAGAUGAUAAGCAGAAGAAGGUAUCUCUACCAGCAUCUGUCAGUAUGUAGCAGAGACGUCCUCAGUUGGCAUUUUUGUGUCUUUUCAACCAAUUUCUUGUUCAUUUCCCUCCAUAACCUCUUGUUCUUGGGUUCAGGAAGGGAAAAACUUGAUGACUUGGUUUCCCUCUGUACCUCUGCUUGUUUUCAUGUACUCUUUAUGAAGGCAAUACAGUAAAGCAUGUCUAAAAACCAGGCAUCUGUGUAAUCUGUAAGGCACCACCACCACCCCAUGGCUUCACAGCAAGGAGGACUGUUUUCCACUUCAUUCUGCCUUUCCUAACAGAAUUCUGAUCUAUUCGCUACCAGGAAUCCUGAGCAGCAGGAGUAAAUGAGAGCACACCAGUGUGUGCUACAACCCAAGAUAAAUAUUAAGUAACACAAUGGUUUAUGCCUCUUCAAGAACAGAUUUCAUCUCUGUCUUAUCGCUCAGGUUUUCUACAGCUGUCAUAGCUUGAUUUGCAAAGGGAAAGGCAACCCCUUGGCCUUUGAAGGGAACCAAAUCCUUUUGGGAUUCCUAGAGAUCUCCUUGUUCCCACUGAUGUGAUUUCUUGUUUUACAUAUCAAGGACAAAUACUUCAGCCUACACACAGCACUGACCCAAAAACAGCUCCAAAGAAGAAGAUCUGGGGGUUUCAGGCUUUGCAUCAUCUCUGCCUCUUGAAAUUGAAGUGUGUUUCAUUCAGUCUAUCUCACAGCUUUGUUGUACAAUGCAGAGGCCGAGCAACAGCUCAGACUGCAUCUAUUGGGUGCCCGCAUUGCACAUUCACUUAUUAUCCAUCCAAGCAAUUCAAACAAGGAACAAAAGGAUCUAAAUUAACCUCCCAGGCUCCCUUUACUAGAGCAGGGAAAUAGACAGCAAGGGGCCAGGUAUUUUAUUGUUGCUAAAGCCCACCCAGCUGGUGAGAACCUUCAGAGGACUUGGCUGAUAAGGCAGGAGAAAAACUGCAUAUUCAGACAUACAAACAUACAGGUGGGACAGGAAGAAAGGAAACAGGAGCAGCUAAAUUGAAAGUGAACAACCUUAUUUCGAAGACACACAUUUUUGUGCCCUGGCCAAGGCACAUUCAGUGGAACUAAUGACUUGAAGGAGCUCAAGGCUGCUGCCCUCAGGGUCAGUGCUGUGUCGCUCCAUUGGUCACACUCAUAAACAGAUGCAUUUCUGAGAAAGAGAAUCAGGAACUUCACAUGGGUCAUAAGAAACAUCUCAAGUUCUAACAGGACUCAUCCUGUUCUACUUGGGGAGACAAACAAGUGUGAAAAGAAGAUCUGAAAGGUCAGUACCAUGUGUCAGCAAAGUGAUUAAACUAUGUGAAAGGAAAUGCUACCAAGACUUCAAAAUCAAAAGCAAUGUCUGGGAGAAAAGUCACUGGGAGAGAACUCCAAGUGAGCAAUACUUUGACGGGAACCAGAGCCAGCUGAGUGAAAGCAACAACAUCUUCUGGGUGAGAGACUCCAGCUGGAUCUUCUGCACAACAGAGCUCUACCCUCUGAGCUACUGCCCAGCACUGCUCGUCUCUUACAGCCCUUCAUCCGGGAAGCAGAGGAGAUGCAUCUCAGAGAUAACACCACUAAAGUGAGCUCAUGUUUUCCCCACGAUUAAGUCUAACUGCUGCCUCAAAGAAGUUGUGUCCCUCCAAAGCAUUCCCAGGUGAUGAAGGAACAAGCAAUGCCAAUAAAAAGGAAUUUCACUGUCUGAA